rnacentral:rRNA from 1 species
UGGGGAAUCUUGCGCAAUGGGCGAAAGCCUGACGCAGCAACGCCGCGUGGGGGACGAAGGCCUUCUGGGUUGUAAACUCCUUUCAGCAGGGACGAUCGUGACGGUACCUGCAGAAGAAGCCCCGGCCAACUACGUGCCAGCAGCCGCGGUAAUACGUAGGGGGCGAGCGUUGUCCGGAUUCAUUGGGCGUAAAGAGCUCGUAGGCGGCUUGGCAAGUCAAGUGUGAAAUCUCCAGGCUCAACCUGGAGUCGCCACUCGAUACUGCCAUGGCUAGAGUCCGGUAGGGGACCAUGGAAUUCCUGGUGUAGCGGUGAAAUGCGCAGAUAUCAGGAGGAACACCAGUGGCGAAGGCGGUGGUCUGGGCCGGUACUGACGCUGAGGAGCGAAAGCGUGGGGAGCGAACAGG